CAAUGGCGUAAACAAAGGGAAGCGAGACGGCGACGUUAAGCAAAUCCCAGAAAUAACGUCCCAGUUCGGAUUGUAGUCUGCAACCCGACUACAUGAAGCUGGAAUCGCUAGUAAUCGCGGAUCAGAAUGCCGCGGUGAAUACGUUCCCGGGUCUUGUACACACCGCCCGUCACACCAUGGGAGUCGGAAAUGCCCGAAGUCAGUGACCCAACCGGAAGGAAGGAGCUGCCGAAGGUGGAGCCGGUAACUGGGGUGAAGUCGUAACAAGGUAGC
rnacentral:rRNA from 1 species